CCCUUAGAUGUUCUGGGCUGCACGCGCGCUACACUGAAGCGUUCAACGAGUAUUCACCUUGCCCGGGAGGGUUGGGUAAUCUUUUGAAAACGCUUCGUGAUGGGGAUAGAUUAUUGCAAUUAUUAAUCUUCAACGAGGAAUUCCUAGUAAGCGCGAGUCAUCAGCUCGUGCUGAUUACGUCCCUGCCCUUUGUACACACCGCCCGUCGCUCCUACCGAUUGAGUGCUCCGGUGAAUAAUUCGGACUGCAGCACUGCUUGGUCUCCAGGCUUUGCAGCGGAAAGUUUAGUGAACCUUAUCACUUAGAGGAAGGAGAAGUCGUANCA
rnacentral:rRNA from 1 species